GUUAAAAACAUUGUAGAUAUAUUUGAACUUCUAUUAACUCUUUUAUUCUUUGACAAAAAAAGUAAGUUUUGAGGAGAAGUUUAGUUGCACGUUGUAUGGCGAAACGUUAACGGCGUAUUGAUCCACUUUCACUGUCAAACGAAGAAACUUAUUGAAAACAUAUUCAUAUAUAUUCUUUCUCUUAUUAUUAAUUAAUUAUUUAAAUAUUUUCGCACGAAGAAACGAAGUACAGAUCCGCAGUCAAGUGAAAAAAUAAUUUUUCAUCUCCAUGAUAAUAAAAAAAAAAGAAAAAAGAAAAAGAAAAAAGAAGAUAUAG